rnacentral:rRNA from 1 species
UUGUCUUUUAAUUAAGGACUAGAAUGAAAGGUUUGACUAUGUAUUUCUGUCUUAUAAUAAUAUUUUGAAAUUUAUAUUUUAGUAAAAAAGCUAAAAUUAUCUAUAGGGACGAGAAGACCCUAUCAAGUUUUACAAUCCAGAAUUUAUUUUCAAAUUAAAUUUAAAAUUGUUUUGCUGGGGCAGCAGAUAAAAAUUUUUUAUUUUAAAAUUAUGAUAAAUAAAUCUUGAAAAAUCAAAAAAUUUUUAAUUAAAAAUAAAUUACUGUAGGGAUAACAGCAUAAUUUUUUUAGAGAGUUCUUAUCAUCAAAAAAGUUUGUGACCUCGAUGUUGGAUUAAAAUUCCUAAUUCGUGCAAUAAUGAAAUAA